rnacentral:rRNA from 1 species
GCGUAGUCGAUGGGAAACGGGUUAAUAUUCCCGUACUUGGUGUUACUGCGAAGGGGGGACGGAGAAGGCUAUGUUGGCCGGGCGACGGUUGUCCCGGUUUAAGCGUGUAGGUGUGUGUUCCAGGUAAAUCCGGUUCACUUUAACACUGAGGCGUGAUGACGAGGCACUACGGUGCUGAAGCAACAAAUGCCCUGCUUCCAGGAAAAGCCUCUAAGCAUCAGGUAACAUCAAAUCGUACCCCAAACCGACACAGGUGGUCAGGUAGAGAAUACCAAGGCGCUUGAGAGAACUCGGGUGAAGGAACUAGGCAAAAUGGUGCCGUAACUUCGGGAGAAGGCACGCUGACACGUAGGUGAAGUGAUUUACUCACGGAGCUGAAGUCAGUCGAAGAUACCAGCUGGCUGCAACUGUUUAUUAAAAACACAGCACUGUGCAAACACGAAAGUGGACGUAUACGGUGUGACGCCUGCCCGGUGCCGGAAGGUUAAUUGAUGGGGUCAGCGCAAGCGAAGCUCCUGAUCGAAGCCCCGGUAAACGGCGGCCGUAACUAUAACGGUCCUAAGGUAGCGAAAUUCCUUGUCGGGUAAGUUCCGACCUGCACGAAUGGCGUAAUGAUGGCCAGGCUGUCUCCACCCGAGACUCAGUGAAAUUGAACUCGCUGUGAAGAUGCAGUGUACCCGCGGCAAGACGGAAAGACCCCGUGAACCUUUACUAUAGCUUGACACUGAACAUUGAGCCUUGAUGUGUAGGAUAGGUGGGAGGCUUUGAAGUGUGGACGCCAGUCUGCAUGGAGCCGACCUUGAAAUACCACCCUUUAAUGUUUGAUGUUCUAACGUGGACCCGUUACCCGGGUUGCGGACAGUGUCUGGUGGGUAGUUUGACUGGGGCGGUCUCCUCCUAAAGAGUAACGGAGGAGCACGAAGGUUGGCUAAUCCUGGUCGGACAUCAGGAGGUUAGUGCAAUGGCAUAAGCCAGCUUGACUGCGAGCGUGACGGCGCGAGCAGGUGCGAAAGCAGGUCAUAGUGAUCCGGUGGUUCUGAAUGGAAGGGCCAUCGCUCAACGGAUAAAAGGUACUCCGGGGAUAACAGGCUGAUACCGCCCAAGAGUUCAUAUCGACGGCGGUGUUUGGCACCUCGAUGUCGGCUCAUCACAUCCUGGGGCUGAAGUAGGUCCCAAGGGUAUGGCUGUUCGCCAUUUAAAGUGGUACGCGAGCUGGGUUUAGAACGUCGUGAGACAGUUCGGUCCCUAUCUGCCGUGGGCGCUGGAGAACUGAGGGGGGCUGCUCCUAGUACGAGAGGACCGGAGUGGACGCAUCACUGGUGUUCGGGUUGUCAUGCCAAUGGCACUGCCCGGUAGCUAAAUGCGGAAGAGAUAAGUGCUGAAAGCAUCUAAGCACGAAACUUGCCCCGAGAUGAGUUCUCCCUGAGACUUAGAGUCUCCUGAAGGAACGUUGAAGACGACGACGUUGAUAGGCCGGGUGUGUAAGCGCAGCGAUGCGUUGAGCUAACCGGUACUAAUGAACCGUGAGGCUUAACCUUACAACGCCG